UACGAAGGGGGCGAGCGUUGUUCGGAAUUACUGGGCGGAAAGGGCUCGUAGGCGGCCAACUAAGUCAGACGUGAAAUCCCUCAGCUUAACUGGGGAACUGCGUCUGAUACUGGAUGGCUUGGAUUUGGGAGAGGGACGCGGAAUUCCAGGUGUAGCGGUGAAAUGCGUAGAUAUCUGGAGGGACACCGGUGGCGAAGGCGGCAUUCUGGACCGAAACUGACGCUGAGGCGCGAAAGCCAGGGGAGCAAACGGG
rnacentral:rRNA from 1 species